GGCCUCCUAGCUCAUGUGGUAGAGCAUGCGCGUACAAAGCGUAGGCGGUGUCCAUGCGUCGGUUCGAAUCCCACCGAGGCUA
rfam:Echinostoma caproni strain Egypt genome assembly, scaffold: ECPE_scaffold0030828